GAUGAACGCUGGCGGCGUGCCUAAUACAUGCAAGUCGAGCGAACAGACGAGGAGCUUGCUCCUCUGACGUUAGCGGCGGACGGGUGAGUAACACGUGGAUAACCUAUCUAUAAGACUGGGAUAACUUCGGGAAACCGGAGCUAAUACCGGAUAAUAUAUUGAACCGCAUGGUUCAAUAGUGGAAGACGGUUUUGCUGUCACUUAUAGAUGGAUCCGCGCCGCAUUAGCUAGUUGGUAAGGUGACGGCUUACCAAGGCGACGAUGCGUAGCCGACGUGAGAGGGUGAGCGGCCACACUGGAACUGAGACACGGUCCAGACUCCUACGGGAGGCAGAAGUAGGGAAUCUUCCGCAAUGGGCGAAAGCCUGACGGAGCAACGCCGCGUGAGUGAUGAAGGUCUUCGGAUCGUAAAACUCUGUUAUUAGGGAAGAACAAAUGUGUAAGUGACUAUGCACGUCUUGACGGUACCUAAUCAGAAAGCCACGGCUAACUACGUG
rnacentral:rRNA from 1 species